AGGGUUUGAUCCUGGCUCAGGACGAACGCUGGCGGCAUGCCUAACACAUGCAAGUCGAACGAGAAAGUUCCUUCGGGAGCAAUUAAAGUGGCGCACGGGUGAGUAACGCGUAGACAAUCUGCCCUUCAGUCUGGGACAACUUUUCGAAAGGAGAGCUAAUACCGGAUGACAAUGUAACACAUAAGUGUCACAUUUGAAAGCUUUAUGUGCUGAAGGAGGGGUCUGCGUCCCAUUAGCUAGUUGGUAAGGUAAAGGCUUACCAAGGCAACGAUGGGUAGCGGGUUUGAGAGGACGAUCCGCCACACUGGAACUGAGACACGGUCCAGACUCCUACGGGAGGCAGCAGUGGGGAAUAUUGCACAAUGGAGGCAACUCUGAUGCAGCAAUGUCGCGUGAGUGAAGAAGGCCCUUGGGUCGUAAAGCUCUUUUAUGGGGGAAGAUGAUGACGGUACCCCAAGAAUAAGCACCGG
rnacentral:rRNA from 1 species